UACGUAGGGGGCUAGCGUUGUCCGGAAUCAUUGGGCGUAAAGAGCGUGUAGGCGGCCCGGUAAGUCCGCUGUGAAAGUCGGGGGGCUCAACCCUCGAAUGCCGGUGGAUACUGUCGGGCUAGAGUGCGGAAGAGGCGAGUGGAAUUCCUGGUGUAGCGGUGGAAAUGCGCAGAUAUCAGGAGGAACACCAAUUGCGAAGGCAGCUCGCUGGGACGUUUACUGACGCUGAGGCGCGAAAGCGUGGGGGAGCAAACAGG
rnacentral:rRNA from 1 species